ACCUGGCUGGCUCAAACUGUAGAGCAUGGGACUCUUGAUCUUAUGGUUGUAAGUUCAAGCCCCACAUUGGGUA
rnacentral:tRNA from 1 species